CAAUUUCUCUCCAUUGCUCUCCAUUCUUUCUUACAACCUAUCUUAGUUUUAGGACAAGACUUUGGAAUUUAAGAUAAAGUCUUAUCUGAUCCUAACAUGGGUUGUGAGGGUCCUAAAGAAGAAGAAUCAAAAGUUUAGAGGAGGAUCUUAGAGAGUCGAGUCAGGUUCUUAGAGAAACCUGACCGAUAUAGGACUAGUCAAGUUCUAGGGGUUAGAACUCUUGAAGCA
rnacentral:lncRNA from 1 species